CGCCUGUUUAUCAAAAACAUUACCCUCCGAUUUAUAUAUGGGGGGCAAUUCCUGCCCAGUGACAUUAGUUCAACGGCCGCGGUAUCCUAACCGUGCAAAGGUAGCAUAAUAACUUGCCCAUUAAUUGUGGGCUAGAAUGAAAGGACUUACGAAAUAAAAACUGUCUCUAUGAAAUAUAUAAAAAUUAAUAUCUAACCGAAGACUGUUAGAUUAAAUCGAAGGACAAGAAGACCCUAUAGAGCUUAAUUCAAAUAAUAAGUCAUAUAUUACUAAGAUUCGGUUGGGGCGACCGGGGAAAAAAUUUAUAGAUCAUCCCUAUUUAUUAGAUUAACUAAUCAUACAAUAGACCCUUAAACAAGAUCACAGAACCAAGCUACCUUAGGGAUAACAGGCUAAUCUCUUUAAAGAGUCCUUAUCUAUAAAGAGGUUUGGCACCUCGAUGUUGGCUUAGGGAAAUAGUGCGACGCAAAAGUCACACAAGAUGGUUUGUUCAACCAAUAACGCCCUACGUGAUCUGAGUUCAGACCGG
rnacentral:rRNA from 1 species